rnacentral:rRNA from 1 species
UACGUAGGAGGCGAGCGUUGUCCGGAAUCACUGGGUGUAAAGCGCGUGUAGGCGGCCUGCCAAGUCUGCUGUGAAAGCGCCUGGCUUAACCGGGCGAGGUCGGUGGAAACUGGCGGGCUGGAGGACGGUAGAGGGGGGUGGAAUUCCCGGUGUAGUGGUGAAAUGCGUAGAGAUCGGGAGGAACACCAGUGGCGAAGGCGGCCCCCUGGGCCGGUACUGACACUGAGGAGCGAAAGCGUGGGUAGCAAACAGG